rnacentral:lncRNA from 1 species
UUAGACCAUCAAGUUGUCGCCGUUAACCCCAUUCGUCGUCUUACGUCACCGCCGUCAACCCCUUUCGUCGUCUUACGUCACCGCCGAUAAUCGUUUGCAAGCCAAAGCUGUUGUCUUUCCACCGCCGAGCUUGCUCAAGUAACCAUCACCUCUUUUUGACCAGCCAAAACCUCCCAUUUUUCACGAAAACACCACCACUCAACUCAUCUCUGCUGCUCCAUCGUAUCAUUUUCCGUGCACCACCACUGAUCGAGUUCGUCCAUCACCAAACCUUCACCUUUAACAACCACCACCUUCUUAAAACCUAACCGCCACAUUUACAACAACAAACCUCACUCUUUUUCCCCAUUACCGCUGACCUUCAAAGCCCCAUCCCAACCUUAAAAGAACCGAUUAAAACUCUACACAAACUCUCUCAACAUCGUUUCAGCUGUCCGUCACCGUCUACACAAUCAUUGUCGAUUGAUUUUUGAGCCCAAAAAUAGACCAUGGUUGGCACUAGAAACCAGUUGGCCGACAGAUUCCCGUUUCACUUAAUUUAAGUCAAAACUAAUUUUCAGCAUCACCAGUCGUCAACCCAGAUGAUGAAGAUCUAGAACCACCACCACCGAUGCAUGUUGCUGGAUCGAGUCGACUCCAACGUCAAAGAAGCCCGACACUGGUUGAAAUAGAAAGUCCACAAGUUUGUCCUGACACUUCUAACGACAAAAGGUAUAAUGUUCCAAUUUUACAACCUAUUUUACUAUUACUAACGUUUCCUAUAGGUCGUUUAGACGGAGCUAACACUUCAGGUCACGAUGAUCUUGAACCGUCGAACCAAAGUGAGCAACCAACUCUACGAUAAACAAGGUCGGCCACAGCUCGUGCUCAACGUACACAAUCAUACCAACCAAAUAAAGAGCAAGAGUCAACCCUGAAUAGCAGUACUAAAGCUGCUGAUAUGCCAAGUCCACCGCACAGUCCAGUAAAAAAUGAGUACCAACUUCCUAGAAAUAAUAGGCGCGGUCAACGGGACCGAACCUAUACAAUGCUGCCAGAACAGAGACUUCAAAGGUCUCUAAAUUUCACGACACUGGAACACCGUGCAAGAUACGAGAAAAUUCAACAUAGGCCGAU